UAUUUAUCAACUCGGCUAUGUGUAGCAUUGGUUAAUUGUGUUGUACCAUGCGAUUGUCCCUGAUUAGAUAUCACAGUGUCGAGUUUGGAACUCGGCAAACAUAUUGCCUAGUUCUGUUUAAUGAACAAUUCGGUAAAUAUUUUACACUGGGAAAUUUGUGAUGAAAUGUGGAUUAUUCCUAUUGAUCGAGGUUUGUUGAGUUUAUCCACGGAACACUUGGCAAACAUAUUGCCCUAAUGAACAACUCGGUAAAUAUUUUACACUGAAAAAUUUGUGCUGACACGUGGAUUAUUCCUAUUGAUCGAGGUUUGCCGAGCUUAUUCGUGGAAAACACGGCAAAGAGCUGUACCACGUGACAAUUCCAUAAACGGCACACCGAGUCUGACGGUGUGAUUCAGCGGAAACUCGGCAAACAUUGUUUAUAUUUACUGAGUUUGCAAUAGAAGUACUCGACAGUAGUAAUCAUUGUCAGGGGCCGUUCAACCAAGUGUCUUGCACCGAGUUUGGAACUGGGCGAACAUUUCGUCAAAUUUAAUAUGUAUUCUGUCGAGUUUUUUUGAAACUAGACGAUAAAGACGAUUCUAGUAGUGCGUCAGUGCCACCGUAGAACAUCACAUGCACCUUCUGCCAGAUGAACGGUUGCGGGAAUGGCGCAGUUGUAGUGUCAGCAGCCAAAGACAGCAGCAAACUGCUGACCGCCAGCAGCACCACCGCAACAACUCGAGAUAGAGGCAUAUCUAUAGCUGUGUGCUCUCGAAACUUCACAAUUUAUGAUAUGUAGCUGAUCCGAAAAACUGAGCGCGCAAGCUGAUGAGUAGUCUAUAUUGAUUUGUGGUGAUGUGGUG
rnacentral:lncRNA from 1 species